ensembl:lncRNA
AUUCUGCUAAGGUUGUUUUCUACCAGAGACUAUUAAAGACUGGUACUUUUCCUAUAUUAUUAUAUUACGUAUUGCUGAGUCUUGGAUUCAGCCCUAAGAGCAAAUAUGUGUUCCUGAAAAGCUAAUUUUACACCUCAUUUACUGUAGAUAACAAGACAACCUCAAUUUUUCAAAUUUUUCAAGAUUUUAUUUAUGGGGCUCGAAUCCCAUGCAUAGGGAAUGUGUGUAGGGAGCCAGAAACUCUUUCUAUGAAAUGUUACACAAAUCUUUCCAUAUGUGAGUUCAGUAUCUUAUCCUUUGGUUUAACACUGGCAUUUUCAAAGCCAGGAUAAUACCUGAAGAAUCUACAAGAAAAACUGGAACACUAGGGUCCCACUUUUUGUCCUUGUAUUUACUGCUGACCCAGGUAUCUUUGGCCCAGUCACUUAACCUCUCUGUGCCUCAGUUUCCUCAUCUGCAAAAUGGGGUUCAAAUGCUUUUUCAUAAAGUUUUAUUUGCAAUUCUGGAACAAGAGGUGCUUAAAGUAGCACAAAGUGCUUUGUAAUUAUUAUAUCUGCUGUACCAUUUGACUUUCUUGUGUGGUUGAGAAAAAGAUUCCCCUAUGUAAUAAAAUAGUGCUCCAAUUUGGUUAAAUGUAAACAUUGCAGCACUGAAGCUUUCCCAUCAAGCUACCUGGGACAUUAUUAGCAAUAAAGAUUGAGAGAUCAAAACCAGGAUCUCUAAUAAUCUAUAGCAAAUCGAUCUUCUCAUGUUACUGAACACAACAGAAGAGUGUCAUUUCAAUGAUAAAAAUACUCCAGCUUUCCAGAUUUCAUCAUUCUCCUUCCUGAUUGACAUGCAUGCCAACAAACAAAACACCACUUUGAUCACAGGAGAGCCAACCACGAAAUGAAGCCUUGGAGAGAGCUGACAGUAGCACAUAAUCUACCUGUUUAUCUCUUUCAUUUUGGGAAAACACGAGGUACGAGGAAUGUACAAAACUCUCCUGCUGGAUUCUGUGUUCAAUGAGCGUGAUGCAACUGAAUUUCAUGCAUAAUGGCAAGAGGACUCUGCAUAAUGGAUGGUUGGAGUUGGUCCUUAUAAGGCUUCUUCAGGUGCCAAACUAUGAUUCCAGUUCAGAAAUGGGCAGGGCAGUUUCACAUUCCUUUGCUGUCUUUAGUUUGGUAAUUUAGUUCUUCCUAAAUAAGUCUAUUAUUGAUCGUCCAAGUCCAAUGUUCAAUCAGAAUUACUAAAGAUAAACUUUAAGGGGCAAUGUGGCAAAAAUUAGACUAUAAUUUACUAUAUUCAACCUAAUGUAUUAAACUCUGAAGUAGUUGAUUUGGUGAGGUUUCCUGUUUCUCUUAUUUUUCAUAUCAAGGUCUUUGCUUAUAUUUCCAACUUUCUUAUAUGCAAGUGCUAUAGUGUAGAAAAGGUAUAGACACACCACUUGAAUCCAAUUUUCCCUACAAUGAUGAUGCCAUGAAGUAAGGAGUGGAUGAUACAAUUUCCUGACCAAAAGCAAAUCCCAGGAUCUAUUAAUAAUAGCAAUCGUUUAUAUUUGACAAAUGUCUCACAAAAUGUGCCUGUUUCUUCCAUUAACCCAUACUGAAGCAGAUCAAAAUCCAAACGUUUUUAUAAAUAUGUGAUGUACAUAUAUAAACAUAUAUUCUGUACAUAGAAUGAUGGUGUGAGUGCUCACUAGAUGUGUACUUCUGCAAUAGGAUGGAAAAAUUAAGAUGUUUUUGUUGCUCACUGGGCAGCUCAUGGUUUUGUUUAGCUAGUGUAUCCGUUCAUCCCCUCCUUUCCUGCCUCUUCUAUCUGCUAGCCUGCCUUCUGUCCAUUACUACUAUUUGCUAUUAUUGACUGUGGUAGAGAUUACUCAUCGAAUUUUCAACUCUCUAUGGCCAUAAGCCAGCAUUUUUUUGUUUUGGAAAAGCAACAAAAAAUCCAGCACAAUCUACAGUAUUAAAAUCAGCCAAAGGUUCUAUAUCUUUAUCAACUAAGAAUCCCAUCCCAAGAAAAGUUUAUGCAUGAUUUAAGCCUUUAACAUCCAAUUCUGUGGGGACUCAAGUAUAGAAUUAAUGUGUUUGAAUGCAGAAUUCCUCAGAUGCCUACUGUAUUAAUGUAGCCAGGGGGCCAGUCUCUCAGAACUGUCCUCCAAUCAACUGUACCAGUUGAGGCUCUUUCCAUCUCAUUAACAUGACUCCAUCUACUGCUUCAGUGCUUGUUUAUUAAUGAAAGAAAGAUACAAAUUGACUGAGUUGCACCAUAAUGGUCCUCUGAAGUACACCAGACAUGUACAUGUACAUAUCCUGUAUGUAAUAUCGUAGAGAUUGGAAUCAAGAUAUUGUAUGUAAAGUUUUAUGAAUGGUUAUUUUAUAAUUUAUGUAUUUAAUAUAGGAAUCAAUGAACUCUGGUGUUUUAGUUUCUAUAAAAAU